UACGAAGGGGGCUAGCGUUGCUCGGAAUCACUGGGCGUAAAGCGCACGUAGGCGGAUCGUUAAGUCUGGGGUGAAAUCCUGGAGCUCAACUCCAGAACUGCCUUCGAUACUGGCGAUCUUGAGUCCGGAAGAGGUGAGUGGAACUCCUAGUGUAGAGGUGGAAUUCGUAGAUAUUAGGAAGAACACCAGGGGCGAAGGCGGCAUCCUGGACCGGCAUUGGCGCUGAGUGAGCGAAAGCCAGGGGAGCAAACGGG
rnacentral:rRNA from 1 species